rnacentral:rRNA from 1 species
GACGAACGCUGGCGGCGUGCUUAACACAUGCAAGUCGAACGGAAAGGCCCUGCUUUUGUGGGGUGCUCGAGUGGCGAACGGGUGAGUAACACGUGAGUAACCUGCCCUUGACUUUGGGAUAACUUCAGGAAACUGGGGCUAAUACCGGAUAGGAGCUCCUGCUGCAUGGUGGGGGUUGGAAAGUUUCGGCGGUUGGGGCUGGACUCGCGGCUUAUCAGCUUGUUGGUGGGGUAGUGGCUUACCAAGGCUUUGACGGGUAGCCGGCCUGAGAGGGUGACCGGCCACAUGGGUCCUGAGAUACGGCCCAGACGCCUACGGGAGGCAGCAGUGGGGAAUAUUGCACAAUGGGGGGAAGCCUGAUGCAGCAACGCCGCGUGCGGGAUGACGGCCUUCGGGUUGUAAACCGCUUUCGCCUGUGACGAAGCGUGAGUGACGGUAAUGGGUAAAGAAGCACCGGCUAACUACGUG